rnacentral:rRNA from 1 species
GAUGAACGCUGGCGGCGUGCCUAAUACAUGCAAGUCGAGCGAACAGAUGAGGAGCUUGCUCCUCUGACGUUCGCGGCGGACGUGUGAGUAACACGUGGAUAACCUACCUAUAAGACUGGGAUAACUUCGGGAAACCGGAGCUAAUACCGGAUAAUAUAUUGAACCGCAUGGUUCAAUAGUGAAAGACGGUUUUGCUGUCACUUAUAGAUGGAUCCGCGCCGCCUUAGCUAGUUGGUAAGGUAACGGCUUACCAAGUCAACGAUGCGUAGCCGACCUGAGAGGGUGAUCGGCCACACUGGAACUGAGACACGGUCCAGACUCCUACGGGAGGCAGCAGUAGGGAAUCUUCCGCAAUGGGCGAAAGCCUGACGGAGCAACGCCGCGUGAGUGAUGAAGGUCUUCGGAUCGUAAAACUCUGUUAUUAGGGAAGAACAAAUGUGUAAGUAACUAUGCACGUCUUGACGGUACCUAAUCAGAAAGCCACGGCUAACUACGUG